GAAAGGCAGUGAGGUGCAGGGAAUAGUCCUUAGCUGCUGUGUAGAGGGUCCCUGAGCUGGAACCUGGAAUAGAGAGUGGGCUCAGGUUCCUCUGCCAGCUGUAGGAGUAGCACUCUGAGGCAAUGAAGCAGAAGACUACCUGAAGAGACUUUAAGCCUACCUUGGAAGGGAAACCCACUUAGUGACCUAGCCAGAGGGCUGGCUCACAAAGAGGAUGCUGCAGUUCCUGGAGUGAGAAAGGGGCUGCAAAGGAAAAACUUCCAGGGUGUAACCACUGACUGAGUGUGAGCCUGACCAAGCUAAUCCCCAGAACUCUGACAUGAGGCAGUGCUGUCCAGUGCGGGUGGAUUUCAGACUGCUGGAAUGCUUGACCAGAUUGGAAACUAGGAUGGCUCAGACUGUGCCAUGACACAGGUCGUUCUUCCAGGAAGCAGCAGCAUAAGGCAGUACCAAAAAGGGCAGAUGGAGCACAGCGAGAUGAGUUUAAAUGAUGGAAAAGGAGAACAUGGGCUUGUCUCUUUUGCAGUUUAGUUAUCAUGGGGGUUAGAACAUGUUUGUAAGAGGGU